rnacentral:rRNA from 1 species
CAGUAGCCGCGGGAAUACGUAGGUGGCAAGCGUUGUCCGGAAUUAUUGGGCGUAAAGCGGGCGCAGGUGGUUUAAUAAGUCUGAUGUGAAAGCCCACGGCUCAACCGUGGAGGGUCAUUGGAAACUGCUAAACUUGAGUGCAGGAGAGAAAAGUGGAAUUCCUAGUGUAGCGGUGAAAUGCGUAGAGAUUAGGAGGAACACCAGUGGCGAAGGCGGCUUUUUGGCCUGUAACUGACACUGAGGCGCGAAAGCGUGGGGAGCAAACAGGAUUAGAUACCCCCGUAGUCCCUGUCUCUUAUAC